rnacentral:rRNA from 1 species
CAGUAGCCGCGGUAAUACGGAGGGUGCAAGCGUUAAUCGGAAUUACUGGGCGUAAAGCGUGCGUAGGCGGUUCGUUAAGUCUGUUGUGAAAGCCCCGGGCUCAACCUGGGAAUGGCAAUGGAUACUGGCGAGCUAGAGUGUGUCAGAGGAUGGUGGAAUUCCCGGUGUAGCGGUGAAAUGCGUAGAGAUCGGGAGGAACAUCAGUGGCGAAGGCGGCCAUCUGGGACAACACUGACGCUGAGGCACGAAAGCGUGGGGAGCAAACAGGAUUAGAUACCCCUGUAGUCCCUGUCUCUUAUAA